CGGACGGGUGAGUAAUGUAUGGGGAUCUGCCUGAUGGCGGGGGAUAACUACUGGAAACGGUAGCUAAUACCGCAUAAUGUCUACGGACCAAAGCGGGGGACCUCCGGGCCUCGCGCCAUCAGAUGAACCCAUAUGGGAUUAGCUUGUAGGUAAGGUAACGGCUUACCUAGGCGACGAUCCCUAGCUGGCUGAGAGGAUGAUCAGCCACACUGGGACUGAGACACGGCCCAG
rnacentral:rRNA from 1 species